rnacentral:rRNA from 1 species
CGGCAACAGCUCAAAUUUGAAAUCUGGCCCCCAGGGCCCGAGUUGUAAUUUGCAGAGGAUGCUUUUGGCGCGGCGCCUUCCGAGUUCCCUGGAACGGGACGCCACAGAGGGUGAGAGCCCCGUCUGGUCGGACGCCCAGCCUGUGUAAAGCUCCUUCGACGAGUCGAGUAGUUUGGGAAUGCUGCUCUAAAUGGGAGGUAUAUGUCUUCUAAAGCUAAAUAUUGGCCAGAGACCGAUAGCGCACAAGUAGAGUGAUCGAAAGAUGAAAAGCACUUUGAAAAGAGGGUUAAACAGUACGUGAAAUUGUUGAAAGGGAAGCGCUCGUCACCAGACUUGCGCCCGGCGGAUCACCCGGCGUUCUCGCCGGUGCACUCCGCCGGGCGCAGGCCAGCAUCAGUUCGCCGCGGGGGACAAAGGCGGCGGGAACGUGGCUCCCCCGGGAGUGUUAUAGCCCGCCGCGCAAUGCCCUGGGGCGGACUGAGGUCCGCGCUCUGCAAGGAUGCUGGCGUAAUGGUGAUCAGCGACCCGUCUUGAAACACGGACCAAGGAGUCGUCUUCGUAUGCGAGUGUUCGGGUGUGAAACCCCUACGCGUAAUGAAAGUGAACGCAGGUGAGAGCUUCGGCGCAUCAUCGACCGAUCCUGAUGUUCUCGGAUGGAUUUGAGUAAGAGCAUACGGGGCCGGACCCGAAAGAAGGUGAACUAUGCCUGUGUAGGGUGAAGCCAGAGGAAACUCUGGUGGAGGCUCGCAGCGGUUCUGACGUGCAAAUCGAUCGUCAAACA